AUAGCUUAAGCGUUUGCCUUAUUUGAAAAGCCUAGGUUUCCAUUUCUUAACCUUGAGGGAUCUACAGGCUUAGGUUUUGCUUACCUUAUGUAGGCUGCCAGGGUAUUAGAACCACCUCAGUCUAAGGGCCUCCUUGUUUAAUUAACACCAAUGAGAAAAUAUACUUCAUCCCUCCCAAGACUUACCAAAGUUUCAGCUUAUUGUGGGAUUAAGCUCAGGCUUGAGGUCCAUAAUCUUGGUAUCCAAAUCAGCUCUAGGUAAGAAUGAAGCAAAUAUGGUUCCUUUCAGUCUGAAGACCUGUGAACUAAAGAGACAAGUUAGUUGUCCUCCAUACACUUAACAUAGAGUGGUAGGACACAGAAUAAUCACAAUAGGCAUUAUUGUUCAAUAUGGUGGAGGGGAGGUGGUGGGAAGGCAUUACAGGAGGCACAUAGCAGUCACUAGUUCCAAGCAAUUCUGAAAUCUAGCUGGGCACAUAUUGACAGCUCUAGCGAGUGUCCAAUUAUGCUCCCUGAGAGUGGGUUUCUGUGGCUUUGGGCUCCUUCCUCUGGACUCUUAGCUUUGUGCUCUGAGUCAUCUUUCCUUUUCUAUAAGAAGUGGCUCAUGCUUGCUGCUAAGUAGUUUCUCAUUCUUCUUUCUUCCAGGGAGGUUGAGAACACUGUCUGUCUCUCCAUUGAGGUUUUCUGUGUCAGAGACAACUCUCAGUGUUUCACCAGUGAAAAGGCCAGGUAUUCUCUGCUCACAACUGGAAUCAUUCUUUAUGACGUCCUAGGAGUUGUUCUUGGUAUACUAGGAAGUGCAUUCUGGUGGCUAGCAUGGCAGAAGGCGUGGAGAGAUCGGCAACAGGUAAUUGAAAAUUACGUACGUGGCUUGCAUUAUAUUUCUAUUGGACAGUGCUGAUCUGAAAAGUAUAUGAAGACUUGAGUUGAAGUCUUGUUCAAAUGAAUCUGAGAAGCUAGAAAAAGCUUCGUUUCAGCAUUCUAGGUAUUUCUAUUUCUAGAUCUUUGCAAAGUAUAUUUUAGUUUUUACUAUGUGGUUUAUAAAUAUUUGAUAUUUUGCUGUUAAUAUUACUGGCAACUUGUGCCUAUAUGCACUGGUAAAUAUUCACAAAUUAAAGACAUAUUUCUACAUAAACUUAGAAAAUAGAAAAGAACAACCAUAUUUUACUACAAUACACAGUCUUUGUUAG
rnacentral:lncRNA from 1 species